rnacentral:rRNA from 1 species
UGGCUCAGGAUGAACGCUGGCGGCGUGCCUAAUACAUGCAAGUCGAACGCGCAGCGAAAGGUGCUUGCACCUUUCAAGCGAGUGGCGAACGGGUGAGUAACACGUGGAUAACCUGCCUCAAGGCUGGGGAUAACAUUUGGAAACAGAUGCUAAUACCGAAUAAAACUUAGUAUCGCAUGAUACAAAGUUAAAAGGCGCUACGGCGUCACCUAGAGAUGGAUCCGCGGUGCAUUAGUUAGUUGGUGGGGUAAAGGCUUACCAAGACGAUGAUGCAUAGCCGAGUUGAGAGACUGAUCGGCCACAUUGGGACUGAGACACGGCCCAAACUCCUACGGGAGGCUGCAGUAGGGAAUCUUCCACAAUGGGCGCAAGCCUGAUGGAGCAACGCCGCGUGUGUGAUGAAGGCUUUCGGGUCGUAAAGCACUGUUGUAUGGGAAGAAAUGCUAAAAUAGGGAAUGAUUUUAGUUUGACGGUACCAUACCAGAAAGGGACGGCUAAAUACGUGCCAGCAGCCGCGGUAAUACGUAUGUCCCGAGCGUUAUCCGGAUUUAUUGGGCGUAAAGCGAGCGCAGACGGUUGAUUAAGUCUGAUGUGAAAGCCCGGAGCUCAACUCCGGAAUGGCAUUGGAAACUGGUUAACUUGAGUGUUGUAGAGGUAAGUGGAACUCCAUGUGUAGCGGUGGAAUGCGUAGAUAUAUGGAAGAACACCAGUGGCGAAGGCGGCUUACUGGACAACAACUGACGUUGAGGCUCGAAAGUGUGGGUAGCAAACAGGAUUAGAUACCCUGGUAGUCCACACCGUAAACGAUGAAUACUAGGUGUUAGGAGGUUUCCGCCUCUUAGUGCCGAAGCUAACGCAUUAAGUAUUCCGCCUGGGGAGUACGACCGCAAGGUUGAAACUCAAAGGAAUUGACGGGGACCCGCACAAGCGGUGGAGCAUGUGGUUUAAUUCGAAGCAACGCGAAGAACCUUACCAGGUCUUGACAUCCUUUGAAGCUUUUAGAGAUAGAAGUGUUCUCUUCGGAGACAAAGUGACAGGUGGUGCAUGGUCGUCGUCAGCUCGUGUCGUGAGAUGUUGGGUUAAGUCCCGCAACGAGCGCAACCCUUAUUGUUAGUUGCCAGCAUUCAGUUGGGCACUCUAGCGAGACUGCCGGUGACAAACCGGAGGAAGGCGGGGACGACGUCAGAUCAUCAUGCCCCUUAUGACCUGGGCUACACACGUGCUACAAUGGCGUAUACAACGAGUUGCCAACCUGCGAAGGUGAGCUAAUCUCUUAAAGUACGUCUCAGUUCGGACUGCAGUCUGCAACUCGACUGCACGAAGUCGGAAUCGCUAGUAAUCGCGGAUCAGCACGCCGCGGUGAAUACGUUCCCGGGUCUUGUACACACCGCCCGUCACACCAUGGGAGUUUGUAAUGCCCAAAGCCGGUGGCCUAACCUUCGGGAGGGAGCCGUCUAAGGCAGGACAGAUGACUAGGGUGAAGUCGUAA